GCGCUCAUGGAGCGGCCGAUGUCGGAUUAGCUAGUUGGUGGGGUAAAGGCCUACCAAGGCGACGAUCCGUAGCUGGUCUGAGAGGAUGAUCAGCCACACUGGGACUGAGACACGGCCCAG
rnacentral:rRNA from 1 species